rnacentral:rRNA from 1 species
CCUACGGGUGGCAGCAGUGGGGAAUAUUGCACAAUGGGGGAAACCCUGAUGCAGCGACGCCGCGUGAGUGAAGAAGUAUUUCGGUAUGUAAAGCUCUAUCAGCAGGGAAGAAAGUUACGGUACCUGAUUAACCAUCCCCGGCUAACUACGUGCCAGCAGCCGCGGUAAUACGUAGGGGGCAAGCGUUAUCCGGAUUUACUGGGUGUAACGUGAGCGCAGGCGGUAGAACAAGUAUGGAGUGAAGUGCCGGGGCGUAACCCGGGAACUGCUUUAGAAACUGUUGAGCUAGAGUGCAGGAGAGGUGAGUGGAACUCCAAGUGUAGCGGUGGAAUGCGUAGAUAUAAGGAGGAACACCAGUGGCGAAGGCGGCUUACUGGACUGUAACUGACGUUGAGGCUCGAAAGCGUGGGGAGCAAACAGGAUUAGAUACCCGGGUAGUC